GGCCGCCUGGCGUAAUGGCAACGCGUCUGACUACGAGGGUUUGACUUGCAAAGUUAAUUCUGGCGAAUCAGGAGAUUGCAGGUUCGACCCCUGCGGUGGUCA